rnacentral:rRNA from 1 species
AGUCAUAUGCUUGUCUCAAAGAUUAAGCCAUGCAUGUCUAAGUAUAAACGCCUUUAUACUGUGAAACUGCGAAUGGCUCAUUAAAUCAGUUAUGGCUUAUUUGAUGGUACCUUACUACUUGGAUAACCGUAGUAAUUCUAGAGCUAAUACAUGCAGGAAGUCCCGACUCUUGGAAGGGAUGUGUUUAUUAGAUAAGAAACCAAUGCGGAGGUGUAACAGCUUCCGGUUGCGUGCUGAGUCAUAAUAACUAUUCGAAUCGCAUGGCUUUACGCUGGCGAUGGUUCAUUCAAAUUUCUGCCCUAUCAGCUUUCGAUGGUAGGAUAGAGGCCUACCAUGGCGUUAACGGGUAACGGAGAAUUAGGGUUCGAUUCCGGAGAGGGAGCCUGAGAAACGGCUACCACAUCCAAGGAAGGCAGCAGGCGCGCAAAUUACCCAAUUCUGACACAGAGAGGUAGUGACAAGAAAUAACAAUACAGGGCUACAACUAGUCUUGUAAUUGGAAUGAGUACAAUUUAAAUCCCUUAACGAGGAUCAAU